GCCCCCAUAGCUUAAUUGGCAAAGCUACCGGCUCUUAACCGGUUGACUCCAGGUUCGAGUCCUGGUGGGGGCACCA
rnacentral:tRNA from 1 species